rnacentral:rRNA from 1 species
GAGGCCAUGGCCGCGUGCAGGGAUGAAGGCCCUCGGGUUGUAAACUGCUUUUGUACGGAACGAAAAGCCUGGGGCUAAUAUCCCCGGGUCAUGACGGUACCGUAAGAAUAAGCACCGGCUAACUACGUGCCAGCAGCCGCGGUAAUACGUAGGGUGCAAGCGUUAAUCGGAAUUACUGGGCGUAAAGCGUGCGCAGGCGGUUUUGUAAGACAGUGGUGAAAUCCCCGGGCUCAACCUGGGAACUGCCAUUGUGACUGCAAGGCUAGAGUGCGGCAGAGGGGGAUGGAAUUCCGCGUGUAGCAGUGAAAUGCGUAGAUAUGCGGAGGAACACCGAUGGCGAAGGCAAUCCCCUGGGCCUGCACUGACGCUCAUGCACGAAAGCGUGGGGAGCAAACAGGAUUAGAUACCCUGGUAGUCCACGCCCUAAACGAUGUCAACUGGUUGUUGGGUCUUAACUGACUCAGUAACGAAGCUAACGCGUGAAGUUGACCGCCUGGGGAGUACGGCCGCAAGGUUGAAACUCAAGAAUUUUUGACGGG